CGGGGUGCAGCAGGCGCGAAAACUCUACAAUGCAGGCAACUGCGAUAGGGGAACAUCGAGUGGCACCCACCAUGGGUGUCUGUCCAACCGUCUAAAAAACGGUUGUUAGCAAGGGCCGGGUAAGACCGGUGCCAGCCGCCGCGGUAAUACCGGCGGCUCGAGUGGUGGCCGAUAUUAUUGAGUCUAAAGGGUCCGUAGCUGGCUUUGCAAGUCCCCUGGGAAAUCCAGCGGCUUAACCGUUGGGCUUCCAUGGGAUACUACAUUGCUUGGGACUGGGAGAGGUAGGAGGUACUCAGGGGGUAGGGGUGAAAUCCUGUAAUCCUCUGGGGACCACCGGUGGCGAAGGCGUCCUACCAGAACAGGUCCGACAGUGAGGGACGAAAGCUAGGGGCACGAACCGGAUUAGAUACCCGGGUAGUCCUAGCCGUAAACGAUGCUCGCUAGGUGUCACGGCAGUCGUGAAUUGUCGUGGUGCCGUAGGGAAGCCGUGAAGCGAGCCACUUGGGAAGUACGACCGCAAGGUUGAAACUUAAAGGAAUUGGCGGGGGAGCACAAGGGCGAUUCGCG
rnacentral:rRNA from 1 species